AUCUCUAUCUGGAGAUCGCUCUUUUUGUAGCCCUUCUGUGUGCCUGGGAUGUGGCUAUGCCCUCACAGGUGGAUUUAUUCUUUUUCUUGUGCUGAUGUGUUGAGGCCAGAUGUGCUGUAAUUAAAUACUACAGCUGCCUGAAGAGCUGGGCAAACUCUCUGCACUGUUCAGAGGCAAGUGACUGAAGCCUGGGGCUGUUGGGCAUUUUGAGACAGAGCUCUCAUGGAACAAUGCUCAUCAGGCGAAGGACUUUUCUAGUUCACAGUAGGACAGCUUUGACCAGAAGUGCUGGAAAGUGCCUGAUAACCUGAUGGUCUUGUUCUCCUGGGAGAGCGAGGCCCUCCAAAUCAGACUGACCAUGUACGUGAGCUGCAAGUAAUCUUUGGCUAUCAGAUAUAGCCACAGGAGAGUCUGGAAAUGCUGGUUAAGCACUCCCCUGGCUAACCUCAGCAUAAGGUCCAGCACAUAUAGCAGAAAGAGAAGGUCUCUAGCCAGCAAAUCACAUAAUCAGGAUGGACUUCAAGGCAUGGUGCUAAGAAGCAUAGCCCGUGUGCUCACCAAGUGACUGACAAACGAGAAGGCCAUGCUGAAAUAUCUGUGUUGAUCAGCACAUGAGGUUGAAGAGUAUUUAACAGUAUUUCAUGUUAAGCCUGUGAUAUUUAGACUGGAAAACUGAUGAGAAGCUGAAGAUAGUCUCGCUGACUAUCACUUACAAAGAGUUGCCUGACACCAAUACCCAACCCUCUCACUUUGAAGAUUUGGGCCUUUGCCUUGCCUAAUUCUCUCCCUCGGCCUCAAACCUUGUGCUCCUUCAAACACUUGUUACCAGUAUAUCUAUUUCUUUGUGCUUUUCUGCUUUAUAUGACAGAAUAAUUAAGGAUUUUGAGUUUACUGGAAUCAGUGCGUACAUUUCUGCAUGACAAAGGACACUCAGCACAUUGUUCUCUUUACCCAAGUUCAAACCAAGGAGAGAGAAUGAUCAGUGAUCAGCACUGUCCUUGUGAACCUUAGUAACUGUUGAUUACCAUGCAGAUGAAAUACAAUCCUGAGUUCAGAGGUCUCAACCUCUGAAUUCAAAUCACUUUAUUGUCUGGUUUAUGGCAACAAUAUAAGAAUAAGUCAGGAAGUACCCUAAAUUUGACACUGAUAUGAGUACAUAUUAUACUGGACAAAACAAAAAAGAAAAGUCUUUGUUAUAUGUGCAGAAGCAACAGUGAUUUUUAUACUUUUUCUAGAAAAGUUACCAACAGAGUAUGAUAAAACCAGAGGUAGUGUUUCAUUUGGUGGGAUCAGGAGGUACUUUGAAAGUGGAACUAUUUAGUGUGGAAGAGAGGAGACAUUAAAUGAAUGUCUUUUUAUUGUACAGCUGGUAUUAUAAAAUGGCUUUGUAGUUUACUGGUUUGUGCCAUGUAGUCCAUUUCUAGCACUUUCUUUAGAUGCUUCAGGGACCUGUGUUCUCAAUGCAUGAGGAUACUUAAUGAAAGUUUGUUUCAUUUUAGGGGAAGCAGAUAAAGGAGAGGACCACAAACAGGCCUUGUGAUAGCAUGUGCUGUAGAAGGAAAGAGUCUGGGAAAACAUAUUUGUCAGAUGUGAAAUAAAAGGCACCAGAAGAAACCUGAUCUGGCAAGGAUUACUUUUUCAUGGCUAGAGACGUUUCUGGAUAAGAGCACGAAAUAUACUAUUUUGCCUUUUCAAUCACAAAGUUGUCUGAACUUAUGCUUCUGUCAGGAAAAAAAAAACCACCACAAAAAGAGCUCAGGUCUACCACAUAUUGUGGGGCUGUUAUAUUUUUUGGUUUAAUGUCAGGAUUUAGUUGCAAGUUUGGAAUUUUAUUACUCUUUUUAUUACUUGAGACAGUAAAAGGGGGCAAGGUAUGUGCACUGAAAACUUCUCAUGUCUGGUUGCUGGGAUUUUUGAAGUCUUUUAUCAAGGCAAAGGGACAAUAAUACAGAUUAUUUUAGAUUAUGUGAUGGAUUUUGCAUGAAAAUGCUUGCAGUCAUGAAAAUUUCAUUGAACUAUAGUGUUUUUUUUACUGGCUGGACAUCUCUGAGCUCCAUACCUGAACAUAAAACAAUGGCUGUUUUAGCCAAAAGUAAAUUUUGUGGUUAAAUUUGGCAAACUGUUUUGAUACAUGAAAAAUCAUUCUGUUUAUACUUUCUAGUAUCUUCUAUAAUUCAAAUUUGCAUUGUGUAAACCCAAGCCAGAAGUUUCAGAUUUUCACACAGUCAUUUUCUCUGUAUCAAAUGAUAUGAUGGAGACAGGAGGAAUGCAUGCUUUGUGCAUAUUCAGCAGAUAUUUAUAACUUUACAAUAAUCAUAUAUAAAAAAAGUUCUGUUUCAUGAACUUAAAUGCUUAAGUUGAGUUGAAAUUAUGAGUUCAAUGUUCUCUAUAAUUGUCAAUGUGUAUGGACAAGCAUGACUCUAAUAUAAAUCCUAUUCUGUUUCAGGAUAAGUCAAGUGAGCACUAAUAAGGAAACUUUUUUUCUGGAAUAAAAUAAAUAAAU
rnacentral:lncRNA from 7 species